rnacentral:rRNA from 1 species
GACGAACGCUGGCGGCGUGCUUAACACAUGCAAGUCGAACGGAAAGCCCUGCUUUUGUGGGUGCUCGAGUGGCGAACGGGUGAGUAACACGUGAGUAACCUGCCCUUGACUUUGGGAUAACUUCAGGAAACUGGGGCUAAUACCGGAUAGGAGCUCCUGCUGCAUGGUGGGGGUUGGAAAGUUUCGGCGGUUGGGGAUGGACUCGCGGCUUAUCAGCUUGUUGGUGGGGUAGUGGCUUACCAAGGCUUUGACGGGUAGCCGGCCUGAGAGGGUGACCGGCCACAUUGGGACUGAGAUACGGCCCAGACUCCUACGGGAGGCAGCAGUGGGGAAUAUUGCACAAUGGGCGGAAGCCUGAUGCAGCAACGCCGCGUGCGGGAUGACGGCCUUCGGGUUGUAAACCGCUUUCGCCUGUGACGAAGCGUGAGUGACGGUAAUGGGUAAAGAAGCACCGGCUAACUACGUG